GAUGAACGCUGGCGGCGUGCCUAAUACAUGCAAGUCGAGCGAACAGACGAGGAGCUUGCUCCUCUGACGUUAGCGGCGGACGGGUGAGUAACACGUGGAUAACCUACCUAUAAGACUGGGAUAACUUCGGGAAACCGGAGCUAAUACCGGAUAAUAUAUUGAACCGCAUGGUUCAAUAGUGAAAGACGGUUUUGCUGUCACUUAUAGAUGGAUCCGCGCCGCAUUAGCUAGUUGGUAAGGUAACGGCUUACCAAGGCAACGAUGCGUAGCCGACCUGAGAGGGUGAUCGGCCACACGGGAACUGAGACACGGUCCAGACUCCUACGGGAGGAAGCAGUAGGGAAUCUUCCGCAAUGGGCGAAAGCCUGACGGAGCAACGCCGCGUGAGUGAUGAAGGUCUUCGGAUCGUAAAACUCUGUUAUUAGGGAAGAACAAAUGUGUAAGUAACUAUGCACGUCUUGACGGUACCUAAUCAGAAAGCCACGGCUAACUACGUG
rnacentral:rRNA from 1 species